UUUUUAGUCUUGAGAUGCAGUAUGUCUGAUAAUGUCUGUGUUUGUGUCGUGUCUCUCCAGAAUAAGUGAUGUGUUGUUGGCUGUAAAGUGGUCCGGCUGAAGCAGAGCUCUGGGACGUGUGGACAGACAUUGACUGUAAUGAUGGACAUCUGCUCAGGGACAGUCUGUGCAAAAGUAUAACCACUGCGGGUCACGGUGCUGGAAGCUCCAGGGGGAGACCGUACUGAUAUCCCCCUUCUUCAGGCGCGCCUUCACACACUCCAGCAUUCACUCGUAUCGCAGAGACCCGGCUGGGAUCAAACCAGCAACCUCUGAACCCGUGAGGCAGCGCUCUUACCUGCGAGCCACAGGUCUCUUACUGGAGCACAUGAAGGAACUUAUAUCUGACUGUUUACCUGUGAUUUCCCAAUAAAGAUGUUGAAG